AUGCACGCUGGCGGCGUGCCUAAUACAUGCAAGUCGCGCGAACGGACGAGAAGCUUGCUUCUCUGAUGAUAGCGGCGGACGGGUGAGUAACACGUGGAUAACCUACCUAUAAGACUGGGAUAACUUCGGGAAACCGUAGCUAAUACCGGAUAAUAUUUUGAACCGCAUGGUUCAAAAGUGAAAGACGGUCUUGCUGUCACUUAUAGAUGGAUCCGCGCUGCAUUAGCUAGUUGGUAAGGUAACGGCUUACCAAGGCAACGAUGCAUAGCCGACCUGAGAGGGUGAUCGGCCACACUGGAACUGAGACACGGUCCAGACUCCUACGGGAGGCAGCAGUAGGGAAUCUUCCGCAAUGGGCGAAAGCCUGACGGAGCAACGCCGCGUGAGUGAUGAAGGUCUUCGGAUCGUAAAACUCUGUUAUUAGGGAAGAACAUAUGUGUAAGUAACUGUGCACAUCUUGACGGUACCUAAUCAGAAAGCCACGGCUAACUACGUG
rnacentral:rRNA from 1 species